UGAACUUUUGUUUUGUACGCUGGGAAAUUUCUGGUGUUAAGGGUCUUCAUUCUUACUUUACCUCUAGGAGCAGUGUUGCGGAAUCGGGUACCGAAAUCUGUGUGCAGAAAAGCUGCUGUUCGAUGCCGGUGGGAGCUAUGCAACCUGUGAAUUAUGUCUUGCCAUCUUCAUUCGUACAAUUAUGCGAUGAACCAGAAUUGGAGGACAGGAUUGCACUCACGAGCAGGUACAAACUUACAGCAUUAUAAUAGCUGUUUCUGUUUUACUAGAUUAUAUAAUCAUGUUCUGCAUUGUAGCUGAGGUUUAUUUGUCCUUCGUUAAUCAUUAACCAACUUGUUUUGCUUAUGUUUUUUAGGGUGGUUAUGGAAUGAAUCUAGCCCCCUUUUUUCGCAAGUAGAAUGAAUCUACCCCCUGUGAAACUGGUUGGAAAGAUAUUUAUUGUGCUUGAUAGAUCUAUAUGUCCUGCCAUGGGUACACCGCCUGUGCCACUUCCACGGGUCUCACUGUCUCAGUUAGUGUCAGGGAGAUGAUCGGGGGUCUAUUCAGCACCUGGAGGCUGCAAAAUUUGCAAAUAGCCAAUUGCUAAUGAAAUGGCAGAGAAACAUCAUCACUAAUUCCAUCCUUCAGUGCAUUUUACAAGUGAAAUGGCAGAAAUAUAUAGUGGUGUCACUUCGAUUGCACGCAACCGAAAGUGUUUCUGAACCAGAAUUUGGGAAGAACCCCGAAACAUGUUCAUGUCUUUUGUAGACGAGAUGUAGCAGUUUCUUAUUAGAUGAUGUUUUCCGUGGAGUAUAUUGAUAAUUCCAG
rnacentral:lncRNA from 1 species